AUUCCAGCUCCAAUAGCGUAUAUUAAAGUUGUUGCAGUUAAAACGCUCGUAGUCGGAUUUCGGGGCGGCUUCGUCGGUCUGCCGAUGGGUAUGCACUGACGCGGGCGUCCUUCCUUCCGGAGACGCGUCCUACUCUUAGCUGAGCGGGGCGUGGAGACGGAUCGUUUACUUUGAAAAAAUCAGAGUGUUUCAAGCAGGCAUCAUCGCUCUUGCAUGGAUUAGCAUGGGAUAAUGAAAUAGGACCUUGGUGCUAUUUUGUUGGUUUCGAGCACCGAAGUAAUGAUUAAUAGGGACAGUGGGGGGCAUUAGUAUUUAAUUGUCAGAGGUGAAAUUCUUGGAUUUAUGAAAGACUAACUACUGCGAAAGCAUUUGCCAAGGAUGUUUUCAUCA
rnacentral:rRNA from 1 species